AUUGAACGUUGGCGGCAGGCCUAACACAUGCAAGUCGAACGAGUGGCGGACGGGUGAGUAAUGUCUGGGAAACUGCCUGAUGGAGGGGGAUAACUACUGGAAACGGUAGCUAAUACCGCAUACCAUCGGAUGUGCCCAGAUGGGAUUAGCUAGUUGGUGGGGUAACGGCUCACCAAGGCGACGAUCCCUAGCUGGUCUGAGAGGCUGACCGGCCACACUGGAACUGAGACACGGUCCAGACUCCUACGGGAGGCAGCAGUGGGGAAUAUUGCACAAUGGGCGAAAGCCUGAUGCAGCCAUGCCGCGUGUAUGAAGAAGGCCUUCGGGUUGUAAAGUGCUUUCAGCGGGGAGGCGUUACCCGCAGAAGAAGCACCGGCUAACUCCGUGCCAGCAGCCGCGGUAAUUC
rnacentral:rRNA from 1 species